rnacentral:rRNA from 1 species
UACGGAGGGUGCGAGCGUUGUCCGGAAUCACUGGGCGUAAAGGGCGCGCAGGUGGCGUCGCAAGUCAACGGUGAAAGCUCGGCGCUCAACGCCGAGUCGGCCGUCGAGACUGCGAGGCUCGAGCACUGUAGGGGCAGAUGGAAUUCCGGGUGUAGCGGUGGAAUGCGUAGAGAUCCGGAAGAACACCGGUGGCGAAGGCGGUCUGCUGGGCAGUUGCUGACACUGAUGCGCGACAGCGUGGGGAGCAAACAGG